CACGCAGGAUGCCCCACUCCCAGAAGGGCUGAGUCGAGUCCCCACAGGAGACAGUGGCUGGAGUCCGGGGGCAGAUCCCGUGCUCAGCACGACCGGAGAGCGCCUGGGACAGGCAGACAGACACACUCAGCAAGAGCCUGGCCCAGCCCUGGCAGCUGAGGGCACACGGGCCCAGGGUGCCCCAAUCUGAGAAGGCACCAUCCACAGGCUCCGCUUUCAGCCCCAUCCUGCUCCAGCUCCUGGCAGGAAAGGGGUGCCCCGGCCCCUUCCUACACUGGAUCCCCCACCCUGCGGGCAGGCAGCCCCAGGCGCUGCACAAACCGUGGCUGCUGUUCCAGGACCUGCCCCCCAGGCCAUGAUUGACCUUGGCCGACAGUCUCCAGGAUGCCCCGGCUGCAAGCAGCGCGUGGGCUCUGCCAGCUCCAGAUCGUGGCUCCCGAAGGGUUAAGCGCAGGAGCGGAAUGGGCUGCAUCACUUCUGCACGGCUGCAUUUCUGGAACAGAGCUUUGCAAGGCAGCGGCACCUUCCGUCAUCCUGGACAGAUGGACAAACCCAGUGGACUCUCCGGAGCACUACCUGGGCCCAGCACUGGCAGGACACUGGCUACCUGGCAAGCCCAGCCUGGCGGCUGCUCUGCUCCCAUCUCUGCAAUAAAUGCAGGCUGAUGACUACA